GUGGGGAAUUUUGGACAAUGGGCGCAAGCCUGAUCCAGCAAUGCCGCGUGCAGGAAGAAGGCCUUCGGGUUGUAAACUGCUUUUGUACGGAACGAAACGGUCCGGGUUAAUACCCUGGGCUAAUGACGGUACCGUAAGAAUAAGCACCGGCUAACUACGUGCCAGCAGUCGCGGUAAUACGUAGGGUGCAAGCGUUAAUCGGAAUUACUGGGCGUAAAGCGUGCGAAGGCGGGUUUGUAAGACAGGCGUGAAAGCCCAGAGCUCAACCUGGGAAGUGCGGUUGUGACUGCAGGGCUGGAGUGCGGCAGAGGGGGAUGGAAUUCCGCGUGUAGCAGUGAAAUGCGUAGAUAUGCGGAGGAACACCGAUGGCGAAGGCAAUCCCCUGGGCCUGCACUGACGCUCAUGCACGAAAGCGUGGGGAGCAAACAGGAUUAGAUACCCGUGUAGUCC
rnacentral:rRNA from 1 species